rnacentral:rRNA from 1 species
GACGAACGCUGGCGGCGUGCCUAAUACAUGCAAGUAGAACGCUGAAGGAGGAGCUUGCUCUUCUGGAUGAGUUGCGAACGGGUGAGUAACGCGUAGGUAACCUGCCUGGUAGCGGGGGAUAACUAUUGGAAACGAUAGCUAAUACCGCAUAACAGUAGAUGUUGCAUGACAUUUGCUUAAAAGGUGCAAUUGCACCACUACCAGAUGGACCUGCGUUGUAUUAGCUAGUUGGUGGGGUAACGGCUCACCAAGGCGACGAUACAUAGCCGACCUGAGAGGGGGAGCGGCCACACUGGGACUGAGACACGGCCCAGACUCCUACAGGAGGCAGCAGUAGGGAAUCUUCGGCAAUGGACGGAAGUCUGACCGAGCAACGCCGCGUGAGUGAAGAAGGUUUUCGGAUCGUAAAGCUCUGUUGUAAGGGAAGAACGAGUGUGAGAGUGGAAAGUUCACACUGUGACGGUAUCUGACCAGAAAGGGACGGCUAACUACGUG